GUCUAAAACAUUUUGGUUUAUUUUUGUUUGGUUUUGGUUUUAAUUCACUGCAUCCUUUUAAUAUUACGCAGAGCCAGUGGAUCAUUCACAGUCACAAAUGGAACGUGCCACCCCCAACAAUGGGCUGACUCACUGCUUCAGCACUGACUCAGAGCAAGAAAACCCACCUCACAAAGCUCACCAGCAGUUCCUCUGGCACUCUGGAUUCUCCCUGGCAAACCUCCACGCAAAGAGUGAGCAUGCCUGAACUUGAUUAGCUGGCGAGAUAAAGUGAGCUCACUGGCCUAGAGCUGGGCUGCAUGAAAUCACACCUUUGUGAAACCAACACAAAUGACUGCAAGGGAAGAGUAGCAGAAUGCAUUAAUCCUAAAGAAUAACACAAGUGUUUACUGCAAACAUGAGUCAACAUUCCUGUUUAAAGUUGCUUAACAGUUUCAGCCACUGCUCUGCGGAAUGGAAUUUAUUUGGAAAACAAUUCCUCGGAACUACAUGAACUAUUCUUGCUCUCUUUUCU
rnacentral:lncRNA from 1 species